ensembl:lncRNA
ACUCCGGGCCUCUGAAUGAGGAGUGGAGCCACAUAGGGGCCUGCACCACCACCCAAGUGCACCCUCCCCCAGCCUCUGGCCUCCUGGCUGUGCCGGUACCUGGAUCCACACUGCAGAGGCACAGGAGGUGAUAAAAGCCAUUGUUCUGCGUUCCAGAAGAUAGAGCAGAAGUGAAGGACAGAAAGAGGGCCUCUCUUAAGCUCCUUGAUGAAAACUGAAGCCCACUACAAAAGUGAAGAGAAUCUCUGCAAUAAAGGCACACCAGAUCACCAUAGUUGUGAACCCUAAUACAAAUGUCACCUAGCAGAAAAUGAAGAAGUGGGUGCUCCCACUUUCUUUGAUGCUCUUCCCUUCCCAAACUCCCAGGACCAUGGCUCUGCUGUCAGAGGGAAGGCUGUCUGACAAAGGAACAUCUUGGCCAUCAGUUGAUAAAGAGUACUUACUAAGCAUCUGCUAUAUGUCCUGAACAUUGUUCGCUCCUACAGGUAGUAAUAACAUUAACAAGAUACAGACAUAAAACAUAGAAACAUCUUUUCCAAACAUAGAAAAGCGAGCAGUUACCAACAAACCAGCUUCCAUAUGAGGGAAACACUCAGCCAUUUUAUGUAGAUGCUCACAUGACAAGAAACCAAGGCCUCCUGCCAACAGCCACAUGAGUGACACAUCAAGGAAGUGGAUCUUCCAGCCUCACUCAAGCCUCCAGUUUACUAAUAGUUCUGCCAACUUCUUGACAAGAACCUCAGGAAAGAUCCUGAGCCAGAGUCACCCUAUUAAGUUGUUCCCCAAAACCUGUUGCACAGAAACUGUGAGAACCAUAUGCUUGUGGCUUUAAGCCACAAAGUUUGGAUGUGAUUCAUCAUGUGACAUUAAAUGAUAUAACUUGACGAAAAUGAACUUACAAACCAUGCUAAAUCUUGCUGAUGGGAGCAAACAUUUUCACCCAAGAUGGACUGCUGAAGGAGAUCUGAGCACUUGAGAACACGUCAUUAUCCAAAGUGCAAAUUAUCAUCCACUGAGAACUUAGAGUUCCACAGUUGCUCCUGGAUAACUUUCACAACUGACGAUACACACUGAGCUGCUGAAAAGCCAAGCAAAGAGGGCCUGAUAAAGCAAGAAGUCAUGAAUGGAUAAAUUCUUUAAUUAAUAAACACCUAAGA